rnacentral:rRNA from 1 species
GAUGAACGCUGGCGGCGUGCCUAAUACAUGCAAGUCGAGCGAACGGACGAGAAGCUUGCUUCUCUGAUGUUAGCGGCGGACGGGUGGGUAACACGUGGAUAACCUACCUAUAAGACUGGGAUAACUUCGGGAAACCGUAGCUAAUACCGGAUAAUAUUUUGAACCGCAUGGUUCAAAAGUGAAAGACGGUCUUGCUGUCACUUAUAGAUGGAUCCGCGCUGCAUUAGCUAGUUGGUAAGGUAACGGCUUACCAAGGCAACGAUGCAUAGCCGACCUGAGAGGGUGAUCGGCCACACUGGAACUGAGACACGGUCCAGACUCCUACGGGAGGCAGCAGUAGGGAAUCUUCCGCAAAGGGCGAAAGCCUGACGGAGCAACGACGCGUGAGUGAUGAAGGUCUUCGGAUCGUAAAACUCUGUUAUUAGGGAAGAACAUAUGUGUAAGUAACUGUGCACAUCUUGACGGUACCUAAUCAGAAAGCCACGGCUAACUACGUG